rnacentral:rRNA from 1 species
ACCCUUCGGGGGAAGACGAGGAAGCUUAGCGGCGGACGGGUGAGUAACGCGUGAGUAACCUGCCCAUAAGAGCGGGAUAACACAGAGAAAUUUGUGCUAAUACCGCAUAUAGAUACGGGACCGCAUGAUACCGUAUUGAAAGAUUUAUCGCUUAUGGAUGGACUCGCGUCUGAUUAGAUAGUUGGGGAGGUAACGGCUCACCAAGUCGACGAUCAGUAGCCGAACUGAGAGGUUGAUCGGCCACAUUGGGACUGAGACACGGCCCAGACUCC